rnacentral:rRNA from 1 species
UACGGAGGAUGCGAGCGUUAUCCGGAUUUAUUGGGUUUAAAGGGUGCGUAGGCGGGCUUUUAAGUCAGCGGUAAAAAUUCGGGGCUCAACCCCGUCCGGCCGUUGAAACUGGGGGCCUUGAGUGGGCGAGAAGAAGGCGGAAUGCGUGGUGUAGCGGUGAAAUGCGUAGAUAUAUGGAAGAACACCAGUGGCGAAAGCGGCUCUCUGGUCUGUAACUGACGCUGAGGUUCGAAAGCGUGGGUAGCAAACAGG